rnacentral:rRNA from 11 species
AAAUUAGGUAAGCAAGUCCGGUGAAUUUAAGCUUGUAAGUAAGCGGAGGAUAAUAAUCGAAAUCUGAUGCCCUUAGUAAUGGCCAGUGAACACGGAUCAGCUCAGCAUGGCCUUUGUCAUUUGCAGUUCCCCGUGCAGG